CCUACGGGAGGCAGCAGUGAGGAAUAUUGGUCAAUGGACGCAAGUCUGAACCAGCCAUGCCGCGUGCAGGAAGACGGCUCUAUGAGUUGUAAACUGCUUUUGUACGAGGGUAAACGCAGAUACGCGUACCUGUCUGAAAGUAUCUUACGAAUAAGGAUCGGCUAACUCCGUGCCAGCAGCCGCGGUAAUACGGAGGAUUCAAGCGUUAUCCGGAUUUAUUGGGUUUAAAGGGUGCGUAGGCGGUCGGAUAAGUUAGAGGUGAAAGUCCGAGGCUCAACUUCGGAAUUGCCUCUGAUACUGUUCGGCUAGAGAGUAGUUGCGGUAGGCGGAAUGUAUGGUGUAGCGGUGAAAUGCUUAGAGAUCAUAAAGAACACCGAUUGCGAAGGCAGCUUACCAAGCUACUUCUGACGUUGAGGCACGAAAGCGUGGGGAGCAAACAGGAUUAGAUACCCUAGUAGUC
rnacentral:rRNA from 1 species